rnacentral:rRNA from 1 species
UAGGGAAUAUUGGGCAAUGGACGGAAGUCUGACCCAGCCAUGCCGCGUGCAGGAAGAAGGCGCUCAGCGUUGUAAACUGCUUUUAUCGGGGAAGAACGGCAGUCCUGCGGGAUUGUGUGACGGUACUCGAGGAAUAAGCACCGGCUAACUCCGUGCCAGCAGCCGCGGUAAUACGGAGGGUGCGGGCGUUGUCCGGAUUUAUUGGGUUUAAAGGGUGCGUAGGUGGUUGAGUAAGUCUGGUUUGAAAGUCAGUCGCUUAACGAUUGAGGGUGGCUGGAUACUGCUGAACUUGAGUGAGCUGGAGGAAGGUGGAACGGGUUGUGUAGCGGUGAAGAGCAUAGAUAUGACCCAGAGCCCCAAUUGCGAAGACAACCUACUACGGAGUAAUUGACACUGAGGCACGAGAGCGUGGGGAGCAAACA